UACGUAGGGCGCAAGCGUUGUCCGGAAUUAUUGGGCGUAAAGAGCUCGUAGGCGGCUUGUCACGUCGGGUGUGAAAGCCCGGGGCUUAACCCCGGGUCUGCAUUCAAUACGGGCUAGCUAGAGUGUGGUAGGGGAGAUCGGAAUUCCUGGUGUAGCGGUGAAAUGCGCAGAUAUCAGGAGGAACACCGGUGGCGAAGGCGGAUCUCUGGGCCGAUACUGACGCUGAGGAGCGAAAGCGUGGGGAGCGAACAGG
rnacentral:rRNA from 1 species